rnacentral:misc_RNA from 1 species
GACGUAGGGGGCUAGCGUUGUUCGGAUUUACUGGGCGUAAAGAGCGCGUAGGCGGCAUGGCAAGUUGGAAGUGAAAUCCCGGGGCUCAACCUCGGAAUGGCUUUCAAAACUGCCAUGCUAGAGUUCGGUAGGGGGUGAUGGAAUUCCUGGUGUAGAGGUGAAAUUCUUAGAUAUUAGGAGGAACACCGGUGGCGAAGGCGAUCACCUGGGCCGAUACUGACGCUGAUGCGCGAAAGCGUGGGGAGCAAACAGG